UACGAAGGGUGCAAGCGUUACUCGGAAUUAGUGGGCGUAAAGCGUGCGUAGGCGGUUUGUUAAGUCUGCUGUGAGAGCCCCGGGCUCAACCUGGGAACGGCAGUGGAUACUGGCAAGCUAGAGUGUGUCAGAGGAUGGUGGAAUUCCCGGUGUAGCGGUGAAAUGCGUAGAGAUCGGGAGGAACAUCAGUGGCGAAGGCGGCCAUCUGGGACAACGCUGACGCUGAGGCCCGAAAGCGUGGGGAGCAAACAGG
rnacentral:rRNA from 1 species